GAUGAACGCUGGCGGCGUGCCUAAUACAUGCAAGUCGAGCGAACAGAUGAGGAGCUUGCUCCUCUGACGUUAGCGGCGGACGGGUGAGUAACACGUGGAUAACCUACCUAUAAGACUGGGAUAACUUCGGGAAACCGGAGCUAAUACCGGAUAAUAUAUUGAACUGCAUGGUUCAAUAGUGAAAGACGGUUUUGCUGUCACUUAUAGAUGGAUCCGCGCCGCAUUAGCUAGUUGGUAAGGUAACGGCUUACCAAGGCAACGAUGCGUAGCCGACCUGAGAGGGUGAUCGGCCACACUGGAACUGAGACACGGUCCAGACUCCUACGGGAGGCAGCAGUAGGGAAUCUUCCGCAAUGGGCGAAAGCUUGACGGAGCAACGCCGCGUGAGUGAUGAAGGUCUUCGGAUCGUAAAACUCUGUUAUUAGGGAAGAACAAAUGUGUAAGUAACUAUGCACGUCUUGACGGUACCUAAUCAGAAAGCCACGGCUAACUACGUG
rnacentral:rRNA from 1 species